CCUGGCGGCCUUAGCGCGGUGGUCCCACCUGACCCCAUGCCGAACUCAGAAGUGAAACGCCGUAGCGCCGAUGGUAGUGUGGGGUCUCCCC
rnacentral:rRNA from 1 species